rnacentral:rRNA from 1 species
UACGUAGGGGGCAAGCGUUGUCCGGAAUCAUUGGGCGUAAAGAGCGUGUAGGCGGUCCGGCAAGUCCGCUGUGAAAGUCGGGGGCUCAACCCUCGAAUGCCGGUGGAUACUGUCGGGCUAGAGUGCGGAAGAGGCGAGUGGAAUUCCUGGUGUAGCGGUGAAAUGCGCAGAUAUCAGGAGGAACACCUAUUGCGAAGGCAGCUCGCUGGGACGUAACUGACGCUGAGGCGCGAAAGCGUGGGGAGCAAACAGG